UACGGGGGAGCAAGCGUUGUUCGGAUUUACUGGGCGUAAAGGGCGCGUAGGCGGCGUAACAAGUCACUUGUGAAAUCUCCGGGCUUAACUCGGAGCGGUCAAGUGAUACUGUUGUGCUAGAGUGCGGAAGGGGCUACUGGAAUUCUCGGUGUAGCGGUGAAAUGCGUAGAUAUCGAGAGGAACACCUGCGGCGAAGGCGGGUAGCUGGGCCGAUACUGACGCUGAGGAGCGAAAGCGUGGGGAGCGAACAGG
rnacentral:rRNA from 1 species